UUUCACCAAUCAAGCCCAGCUUGGUAUUGGGCCUCGUCCGCACAGGACGGGCCUCGAGACCCCGGCCGCGCGGUCCCGCUUCAGGCGUAGCAGAGCUUUCGCAGCCUCGCCUUGGAAGCCGCGUCCGUGUCGCGCCGCACAACGAACCCUUUUCUAUCAAGGUUGACCUCGGAUCAGGUAGGGAUACCCGCUGAACUUAA
rnacentral:misc_RNA from 1 species